AUGUACUGACAGACACUAACAUUUUUGCCCCUUUUCGUUUAUCUUACAACACCGUAACCGUUACCCCCCCUUGAGGUCAUGAUAUAGUGAGAACGUGUAGUUAUGUUACAGAGCUGGCUUGCCCUAGAAGCAUGUGCUGGAUCCAGGAAGAUGUACUGGCAGAAGCAUGUGCACUAGAAACACACUUACAAACAUGUGUACCAACAGACUGGAUGUUGCAAUAUAUUCAAGUAGAUAUAAUUUCUCUUACUAAAUGAUACUUCUUGAGCCCUUUAACAGCCAAG
rnacentral:lncRNA from 1 species